GCCCUGGAGUAAGUAACAAGGAGGGUAAAACCGGAACCCGGAACGGCCUCCAUGGCCCGGAAGAAACAGGGCAUUGAAUCAGGUUUGAGGGAGGGUAAAAAGAGAAACUGGCCUUUCCUCUAAGCUGUGUUCACCCAGCUUUUCCAGGCAAUGUUUGCAACUUCCAGACCGGUUCCAGGUUUCACGCAAUAUUGUGGCACAAACAUCUGGAUGAUGCCUGCAGAAGCAACAGGCCUCAGGUACCUGCAAACCUUAUGUCAUUUGAGUAACCUGCUCCAGUGUGCGGUAUAACGUCCAGUGCCAAACUGUAAGAUGGGAAGAUGGGUUUCCAUUGAAGCAAGGAGGAAAGAUUUCAGAGCAAACCAGCUGUCUCUCCCAGAGCAACUUCAGCACUUUUCUACAUAACUUGAAAGUAAUUAUGAUACAGCUUCUAGAAACAGAAAUGUGAAUGUUAUCCUUGGGACAGGAUCUAACUCACUGCACUGAUAAAGAGAGGAUUUGGACUGUUUGGAGAUGCAGCCUGACCCAUCAAAGGAUCCUUGGGUCCUUAACACUAGCCAUGGAAGUCCCGACGGCUGUGGAUUUUUGUCCUGCCACAAAUUUACCUGUCACAUCUCUGCAGAUGUUUUUUUUUAACUGCUCUUUUUACGGUCAAGCUGCUUUAUGUGACUCAAGAACUUUUGCCCAUGUUGGGUUUACACUUAUUUCUAAUGCACAAAACAACAAACAUUUGACAGUGUUAACUUGCUGCAGAGGGUCAACUUGAAUAGAACGUUGUGAAACAACAUUUUUAUAACUUUAAGUGCAUUGAGCUGCUUCGCCCUGUGGCUGCCUCAGAUUUUUGUAUCAAACUUAGGGAACACGACUGACAUCCCGAACCGAAGCUAUUUGGGAAAUGUGUAUUUUGGCACAAGAUAAAAAAAAUAUCACCUGUAAUUUUUCUGUUUGUAACUCAUAAUUAAUUGUGCUGUAUUUUGCGGUGGUUGUUUUGCUUUGUUGUUUUUUAAGUUAACUGGAGGUACCGCUAGCAACGAAGGGACUAAUUGCUGCUGAAAUACGGUCAGUUUUAAGGCUUCUUCUGGGUAACUUCAUCCCAAAGGAAAGAUUUGCCUUAAAUUGUUUGGCUUGAGAGGCUGAGCAAGGUGGGGGAGAGCUGUUCAUCCAAAAUGUCCCGCUGGGCGAGCUUCUCCUACAUCCCCCAGGUUGGUUCUAGAACUGGGCGCACGUGUGGAUAUGUCUGUGCUCCAAGGGAGGUUAUUUAUUUAUUUAUUUUGCCUUGGACAUCUUCACCUACCCUGUCCAGCCCCGGACAAGUCGCCCUGUGGGACUGACCGCCGUUUUAGCCAUUUUGGGGAAUAUGGUCCCCGUCCAUUGAUUUCCACGAUGACAAUUCGUGUAGCAACAUUCAUUCUUCUUAAUUUAUUAGCUCCUGUAAACCUAGUGCCAAAAUGCAUGGUGGACUGGUUUUUCUGGGUUUUUUUCUUUUUUUCUCCCCGCCCCCCCAACUAGCACUCGAUGGAGGCCAAAACCAUAAAUGUCCAGUUUUCAGACGUUUUGGCCUUUGUGGUAUCAGCCCAUUUCUAGAUUUUGGUUUCAUUCCUUGGUGAGACAUUUGCACUAUUUUAUUUUAUUUUUCCUCCCUCACGUCCCUUUUAGCCAUAUUUCCUGCAUGGCAUUUUAUUGUAAAGGCCUUUUCUCUCCCAACCUUGUGAAUUGUCUCCUUCCAGAUAAACUAUGGACGUUUUCACCCUCCUGUGGAAGUCUUUUUAAGUUUUGUUUUGUUUUUUUCUUCUGGCAAAAGUAUUUUGUUACCUCAGUCUUCUAUUGGGUUGCUGUAUUUUUUCAGCUUCUUACAUUGGUAAUAACUGUCUCAGUAAAUAAAGCAAAAACUUUAAUGUAAAAAAAA